UACGAAGGGGGCUAGCGUUGUUCGGAUUUACUGGGCGUAAAGCGCACGUAGGCGGAUCGAUCAGUCAGGGGUGAAAUCCCAGGGCUCAACCCUGGAACUGCCUUUGAUACUGUCGAUCUGGAGUAUGGAAGAGGUGAGUGGAAUUCCGAGUGUAGAGGUGAAAUUCGUAGAUAUUCGGAGGAACACCAGUGGCGAAGGCGGCUCACUGGUUCAUUACUGACGCUGAGGUGCGAAAGCGUGGGGAGCAAACAGG
rnacentral:rRNA from 1 species